CAGUAGCCGCGGGAAAACGAAGGGUGCAAGCGUCACUCGGAAUUACUGGGCGUAAAGCGUGUGUAGGUGGUUGUUUAAGUCUGUCGUGAAGGCCCUGGGCUCAACCUGGGAAUUGCGAUGGAUACUGGGCGACUAGAGUGCGGUAGAGGAUAGUGGAAUUUCCGGUGUAGCAGUGAAAUGCGUAGAGAUCGGAAGGAACAUCUGUGGCGAAGGCGACUAUCUGGGCCAACACUGACACUGAGACACGAAAGCGUGGGGAGCAAACAGGAUUAGAUACCCCAGUAGUCCCUGUCUCUUAUAC
rnacentral:rRNA from 1 species